CGGGACGGGUGAGUAACGCGUGGGUAACCUGCCUCACACUGGGGGAUAACAGUUAGAAAUAGCUGCUAAUACCGCAUAAGCGCACAGUUCCGCAUGGAACAGUGUGAAAAACUCCGGUGGUGUGAGAUGGACCCGCGUCUGAUUAGCCAGUUGGCGGGUAACGGCCCACCAAAGCGACGAUCAGUAGCCGGCCUGAGAGGGUGACCGGCCACAUUGGGACUGAGACACGGCCCAG
rnacentral:rRNA from 1 species